rnacentral:rRNA from 1 species
GUUUCCGUAGGUGAACCUGCGGAAGGAUCAUUAUUGAAAUAAACCUGAUGAGUUGCUGCUGGCUCUCUAGGGAGCAUGUGCACACUUGUCAUCUUUAUAUCUCCACCUGUGCACCUUUUGUAGAUCUGGAUAUCUCUCUGAGCGCUUAGCAACUCAGGUUUGAGGAUUGACUUUAUUGUCUCUCCUUACAUUUCCAGACCUAUGUUUCUUNAUAUACCCCAAUGUAUGUCAUAGAAUGUAAUUAAUGGGCCUUUGUGCCUAUAAAUCUAUACAACUUUCAGCAACGGAUCUCUUGGCUCUCGCAUCGAUGAAGAACGCAGCGAAAUGCGAUAAGUAAUGUGAAUUGCAGAAUUCAGUGAAUCAUCGAAUCUUUGAACGCACCUUGCGCUCCUUGGUAUUCUGAGGAGCAUGCCUGUUUGAGUGUCAUUAAUAUAUAUCAACCUCUACAMCUUUUGUUUGUUGAGUUGUUGGAUGUGGGGGCUCUUGCUGGCUUCUCUGAGGUCAGCUCCCCUGAAAUACAUUAGCGGAACGAUCCCCGUUCAUUGGUGUGAUAACUAUCUACGCUAUUGACGUGAAGUAGUUUGGCUUAUAACAGUCCAUUGACUUGGACAAAUUUUCAUUAAUGUGACCUCAAAUCAGGUAGGACUACCCGCUGAACUUAAGCAUAUCAAUAAGCGGAGGAAAAGAAACUAACAAGGAUUCCCCUAGUAACUGCGAGUGAAGCGGGAAAAGCUC